rnacentral:rRNA from 1 species
UACAGAGGGUGCGAGCGUUAAUCGGAAUUACUGGGCGUAAAGCGCGCGUAGGCGGCUUUGCAAGUCGGGUGUGAAAUCCCCAGGCUUAACCUGGGAACUGCAUUCGAGACUGCAUUGCUAGAGUAUGGGAGAGGGAAGUGGAAUUUCCGGUGUAGCGGUGAAAUGCGUAGAUAUCGGAAGGAACACCGGUGGCGAAAGCGGCGCGCUGGAUCCCUACUGACGCUGAGGCACGAAAGCCAGGGGAGCAAACGGG